CAAUCUAGAGUNUCGGAGAGGAAAGUGGAAUUCCUAGUGUAGCGGUGAAGUGCGUAGAUAUUAGGAAGAACACCAGUGGCGAAGGCGACUUUCUGGACGAAAACUGACGCUGAGGCGCGAAAGCCAGGGGAGCGAACGGGAUUAGAUACCCCGGUGGUCCUGGCCGUAAACGAUGGGUACUAGGUGUAGGAGGUAUCGACCCCUUCUGUGCCGGAGUUAACGCAAUAAGUACCCCGCCUGGGGAGUACGACCGCAAGGUUGAAACUCAAAGGAAUUGACGGGGGCCCGCACAAGCGGUGGAGUAUGUGGUUUAAUUCGACGCAACGCGAAGAACCUUACCAGGUCUUGACAUUGAUGGACAGAACCAGAGAUGGUUCCUCUUCUUCGGAAGCCAGAAAACAGGUGGUGCACGGUUGUCGUCAGCUCGUGUCGUGAGAUGUUGGGUUAAGUCCCGCAACGAGCGCAACCCCUAUCUUAUGUUGCCAGCACUUCGGGUGGGGACUCAUGAGAGACUGCCGCAGACAAUGCGGAGGAAGGCGGGGAUGACGUCAAAUCAUCAUGCCCCUUAUGACCUGGGCUACACACGUACUACAAUGGGAGUUAAUAGACGGAAGCGAGAUCGCGAGAUGGAGCAAACCCGAGAAACACUCUCUCAGUUCGGAUCGUAGGCUGCAACUCGCCUACGUGAAGUCGGAAUCGCUAGUAAUCGCAGGUCAGCAUACUGCGGUGAAUACGUUCCCGGGCCUUGUACACACCGCCCGUCACACCUCGAAAGUCGGAAGUGCCCAAAGCCGGUGGGGUAACCUU
rnacentral:rRNA from 1 species